CCUACAAACCCUUAUCACAGUAGGUACUCGGCCAUGCUGUGGGAAGGUAAGAUUACUUCCUUAGACGUUAAUCGUCAAGGGUAUGGUGUGAGGUGGGGUUUGAUGCCC
rnacentral:ncRNA from 1 species